GAUGAACGCUGGCGGCGUGCCUAAUACAUGCAAGUCGAGCGAACAGACGAGGAGCUUGCUCCUCUGACGUUAGCGGCGGACGGGUGAGUAACACGUGGAUAACCUACCUAUAAGACUGGGAUAACUUCGGGAAACCGGAGCUAAUACCGGAUAAUAUAUUGAACCGCAUGGUUCAAUAGUGAAAGACGGUUUUGCUGUCACUUAUAGAUGGAUCCGCGCCGCAUUAGCUAGUUGGUAAGGUAACGGCUUACCAAGGCAACGAUGCGUAGCCGACCUGAGAGGGUGAUCGGCCACACUGGAACUGAGACACGGUCCAGACUCCUACGGGAGGAAGCAGUAGGGAAUCUUCCGCAAUGGGCGAAAGCCUGACGGAGCAACGCCGCGUGAGUGAUGAAGGUCUUCGGCUCGUAAAACUCUGUUAUUAGGGAAGAACAAAUGUGUAAGUAACUAUGCACGUCUUGACGGUACCUAAUCAGAAAGCCACGGCUAACUACGUG
rnacentral:rRNA from 1 species